CCUACGGGUUGCACCAGUGGGGAAUAUUGGACAAUGGGCGAAAGCCUGAUCCAGCAAUGCCGCGUGUGUGAAGAAGGUUUUCGGAUUGUAAAGCACUUUCGACGGGGACGAUGAUGACGGUACCCGUAGAAGAAGCCCCGGCUAACUUCGAGCCAGCAGCCGCGGUAAUACGGAGGGUGCGAGCGUUAAUCGGAAUUACUGGGCGUAAAGCGCAUGCAGGCGGCCUGUUAAGUCAGAUGUGAAAGCCCGGGGCUUGACCUGGGAACUGCAUUUGAGACGCAUAGACUAGAGGUCGAGAGAGGGUUGUGGAAUUCCCAGUGUAGAGGUGAAAUUCGUAGAUAUUGGGAAGAACACCGGUGGCGAAGGCGGCAACCUGGCUCGAUACUGACGCUGAGGCGCGAAAGCGUGGGGAGCAAACAGGAUUAGAUACCCCCGUAGUC
rnacentral:rRNA from 1 species